UACGUAGGGUGCAAGCGUUGUCCGGAAUUAUUGGGCGUAAAGAGCUCGUAGGCGGUCUGUCGCGUCGGCUGUGAAAACCCGUGGCUCAACCCCGGGCCUGCAGUCGAUACGGGCAGACUAGAGUGCGGUAGGGGAGACUGGAAUUCCUGGUGUAGCGGUGAAAUGCGCAGAUAUCAGGAGGAACACCGGUGGCGAAGGCGGGUCUCUGGGCCGAUACUGACGCUGAGGAGCGAAAGCGUGGGUAGCAAACAGG
rnacentral:rRNA from 1 species